rnacentral:lncRNA from 1 species
AAUUAAGUUUGCUACUUCUUUUAUUUCCAAAAGGCACAUCUCAUUCUUAACAUUGAUAUGGUAGGCAAGUACAACAUGGUCCUAUCCUGCUGAAAAUAGCUGUAACUACCGAAUUUAGCUGGUGCAAACGAGGAGGCAUUUGUUAACAUUUGCUCGCUACUUCAUAUUGAAGAUGGCACAAACUUCAGAUCUACAGAGUUUGAAUGCAGGAAAAAAGUGAUCUUUUCCCUGUUUCUAAUAUGUAUGGAGAAGAAAGAAGCCAUAGGAUGAAACUUGUGGAUGGGCAGGAAUCACCCCAAACUGGUGUCCACAUGAUGAUUUUGGUUCCAGUUCAUAUGCAGGGAAACUGUGGCCACAGACAAAACACAAGACAGUGUUGUCACUAUAAUCCAUAUAUAGAAACUGACAGGACUGGCAAUUGUAUCUUACUUGAACACUGGGAAUGGGAUAGCAUCUUCUGCCAUAUCUGAGGCUGCAGAGUUGUUUUCGGGGCGUAGAAUAGGUUUCAUGACAUACACUGCUCUGUUCUCCAGGAAGGGAGAGAAUUCAUGAUGAAUAACUAGAAGAUUGCCUCAGCUGCCCUCAGCAGCUGCCACCAGAAUCUGAGGCAAAUCCCCAACUCUGUCCUAUGUUAUUACUCUGUCAUAGAGUGGUGCCCUCUGUAUAUGGGGGACCACAACUCCCAGAAUUCCCCAGCCUAGUUAGAGAUGUCAUCUACAGUCCCUCCCACCACACAAAAUUGUGAAAUACAGCUGUGACCUUCACAGGCAUCUGCUUUAUGCACCUUCCCAGAGGCAUCUUGAUUAGCCACCUUUGGUGAGGUAAUGCUUCAUUCAGCACUUUUUCAUAUGGAUCCAGCAAAUCAGUUCUUCUGAUUUUUGCAUUCCAAUCUCACAGACUUCACUGCUGUUCUAGCCCUGACCUCUCUUUCAAGGGGGACAAGGCCCCUUUCAUGGACAUCUUCCAACAACUAAUUUCUUAAUGUUUCCAAAUGGCUGCACAACUCAGAGAGAACAUGCAUAUUAGAUGUGAAAUGUAACAUAAAUCUGUCCUGAUCAGAUGAGCUCGCUCCUUAUUGUGCAAAUGGUAUGUUUUCAGAGAAUUUUUCUUCUGGCUACAUUCCAAAAGAAGGAAGCAUUUUAAUUAUCUGCUAGUGCUGUGGGGGCCAUCAGAUGGCUUAAGGUUCAGCAUUUGGAUGAACUGGCACUUCAAAGUGCUUGAAGAUCAUGUGUAUCACCAACCAUACAUGAGUCAAUUAAUAAUGUGAAAUUUUUCAACUCAAGAAGGUCUGGAUUAUUUCUGAUGGCAGUUUGUUAAUUGAUUCCUGUAGAUGUAAUGGAGGACGUGAUGACACAAGACUCUAAUCUUUCUGAAGGGGAUGUCUAGAAGACACUGGCUGAAUAAUAUUUCUCCUAGAACUCAUUCUAUAAAUCUACAUUCUGCAUGGCAAUUUUGAUUUAAUAUGUGCCC